GCUCAGGACGAACGCUGGCGGCGUGCUUAACACAUGCAAGUCGAACGAUGAACCCGCUUCGGUGGGGGAUUAGUGGCGAACGGGUGAGUAACACGUGGGCAAUCUGCCCUGCACUCUGGGACAAGCCCUGGAAACGGGGUCUAAUACCGGAUACUGAUCUGCCUGGGCAUCCAGGCGGUUCGAAAGCUCCGGCGGUGCAGGAUGAGCCCGCGGCCUAUCAGCUUGUUGGUGAGGUAAUGGCUCACCAAGGCGACGACGGGUAGCCGGCCUGAGAGGGCGACCGGCCACACUGGGACUGAGACACGGCCCAGACUCCUACGGGAGGCAGCAGUGGGGAAUAUUGCACAAUGGGCGAAAGCCUGAUGCAGCGACGCCGCGUGAGGGAUGACGGCCUUCGGGUUGUAAACCUCUUUCAGCAGGGAAGAAGCGAAAGUGACGGUACCUGCAGAAGAAGCGCCGGCUAACUACGUGCCAGCAGCCGCGGUAAUACGUAGGGCGCGAGCGUUGUCCGGAAUUAUUGGGCGUAAAGAGCUCGUAGGCGGCUUGUCACGUCGGUUGUGAAAGCCCGGGGCUUAACCCCGGGUCUGCAGUCGAUACGGGCAGGCUAGAGUUCGGUAGGGGAGAUCGGAAUUCCUGGUGUAGCGGUGAAAUGCGCAGAUAUCAGGAGGAACACCGGUGGCGAAGGCGGAUCUCUGGGCCGAUACUGACGCUGAGGAGCGAAAGCGUGGGGAGCGAACAGGAUUAGAUACCCUGGUAGUCCACGCCGUAAACGGUGGGCACUA
rnacentral:rRNA from 2 species